rnacentral:lncRNA from 9 species
CAGUACUUCCCACAACUUGGAUGACUUUUUUUUUUUUUUUUUUUUUUUUAAACACAGAUUCUCAGAUUCCCAGGGGGAAAAAGCAGUGCAAAUAAAUGAGGAUCACACAAUCAUCGCCACCAGCUCAGGGCCUCUCUGGGGUUGGAUUUAGUGAUGCAUCUCCUUGGACUCAUGCGGCAUGGAGAAGCUUGAACUGAGAUUCUUGGAAAAGGCAGAGAGGUCAAGAGGAAGAAAGGAAAUCCAGGAAGAAGAGACUCCAAGGUUUCAAUUGGAGACAAAUUCCAUCUACACAUUCUACAAAGAGCCCCUAUAAGAACUGUUAAGACCCUGAGAUGCUCGUGUGUCCGUGAUCUGGCCUCAAAUAAGAAGAAGUUCUUUCUGGUUCUGGACCAGCACACCCACCCUGAUGCUGAGGAGCAUAAGAGCAAGUUUAGAGGUCAGUGAUGGAGUAUUCAUUUUAGGAAAGAUAAUGGAGACAAUAUCAAAACUGCAAAUGGAGUACUGUAUCAGAGUUUAAGUAGCAACUUGAUACAACACAACAGAUGGAGCUAAAACUGAUGUAUGCAACCUAAAAACUGGCAUUUCUCCAAAUAUAAUCUUUAAUUAAUUAACACAGGAGAAAAGUUUCAUUUUAUUGUCUGACAUAUCAAAACAAUUCAAUAAAGUAAAAACAAGAUGCCAUUCAUAAUUCUAGUGCAACUUGUGGAGCAUUCAGACAUUGAAAUUGUCAUUAAUUACUAAGUUAGAGUAAGGCCUAUUCAUUAGAAGUCACAUGAUUAUAUUAUUCAAGGUUAAAUUAGAUUUACACCUUUAUGUGCAGGUACAUUAGUAAAAACAACAUAUAUAAAAUAAUACAGAGGAAAUCAUAUACAUACGUAUGCGUUUGAAAAGUUUUUUUACCUUUCCUGUUGUGAUUGGGAGGGCCUUUUUUUUCUUUUUCUUUUUUUUUUUUUUUUUGCUAUUUUAGGGCCACACCUCCAUGUGCCUUGGGUGCAGCCCUAAAAAGACAAAAAAAAAAAAAAAAAAAAAAAAAAAAA